GCCGGGAGGCCGCGCCCCGGGACCCCCUGGGACUCAUCGGGAACCCCCCGGGAUCCUCUCGGAAACUCCCGGGAGCCCCGGAACCCCCCGGCCCCACCGGUGGCAGCUCCGGGCGGAGCCCCCGGGCACGGCGGGGCCCCGCGCCGCUCCAGGGACCCCCGCGAUGCGCAGCGGAGCAUCCCGGGAGAGCCGCGGGAAUGCCCCGGCAGGGCAGCUGGGAUGGAGGCGCCGUAGGGAGCUGGCUCCUAGGGAAGGUGAAAGAGCAGGCUCGUACACAGCAAAAGCACGAUCCAUCCCAGAAGGAGAAGCCAGCAGAUGCUCUCAGUAAAAUUCCUGGGCCAAAAAGUAAAUUCUAAAAGGCUGAAUGCUUGGAGUCAGCCACAGAGAAUUCCCUGCUGUCACUUCAUCCCUUGCUUUGGAGCCCAGCUCAGUAAUUCCUAUUGCACACCCUUCCCAUCCCAGUGAACGGCUCCAGGUGUCAACUGAGUAAAGUCAGGAUCAGCUGCAGUUAUUCCAGAGUACGUGUCCACGUGCAGAAUAUUCCAGAACAGCAGCAGCAGCAGCAGUGGCAAGCACGGAGAUCGAGCAGGAUGGAGUGGCCUGGCCAAGCCAUGGCCCCGCUGGCAGGAGCUGCAGAGUGGACAGCAGAGGGAACAGCUUGGUCAUGAAGGUGCUCUUCUCCUGAAAGAGGAUCCUGGCAAAAACAUGGCUUGGUGCAGGGGAUGACACACUGAAGGCGAGACAGCGGCAGACACUCGAGCGGAGACUCCUCGUGUUUACAGCCUGGUCAUACGAGCUACUGAGACCCAAAAUCUCCCUGACAUCCUCUCUGGAUGCUUGGCCUCGGAACAACCUCAUUCGUGCCACACCUGCUCCCUUCCACUCGUGGAGCCUUCUAUGCUGCACAGGACACUGGAAAAGCACUUGGAGAUGGCUGGAGAAGGAGGGGGACUUCCUGGAAAACAGUCUCUAAACCAGCCCUUCCCUGUGCCGUGGCUUUUCUGGGGCUCAUUAAUAUCAGUGGUUCCUGCUGGAGGAACUCUGUCACCUUCCCUGAGGCAGCAGAUCUGAGGCCAGACGUGGUGUGCGCUGCUUGAGCGUCAGACACGAGUAAUAACAAGUUUCGCGGAACUGUACCACUUAAUAAAAGCAUUUUAUUACAUUUAAAUGUAUUAAAAUGUGAACAUU